rnacentral:rRNA from 1 species
AUUGAACGCUGGCGGCGUGCUUAAUACAUGCAAGUCGAACGAAGAGUCUUUGUAGCAAUACGAGGGCUUCUUAGUGGCGAACGGGUGCGUAACGCGUUGGUGACCUGCCCCGAAGUGUGGGAUAACAGUUCGAAAGGAUUGCUAAUACCGCAUGUGGUUUUCCGGAUUAGAAGCCGGAUCUCUAAAGCAGUAAUGCGCUUCGGGAGGGACCUGCGUCCCAUCAGCUAGUUGGUGAGGUAACGGCCCACCAAGGCUACGACGGGUAGGGGACCUGAGAGGGUGGUCCCCCACACUGGCACGGAAACACGGGCCAGACACCUACGGGUGGCAGCAGUAGGGAAUAUUGGGCAAUGGGCGAAAGCCUGACCCAGCAACGCCGCGUGCAUGAUGAAGGUCUUCGGAUCGUAAAAUGCUUUUCUGAGAGAUGAGAAAGGACAGUAUCUCAGGAAUAAGUCUCGGCUAACUACGUGCCAGCCGCCGCGGUAAUAC